rnacentral:lncRNA from 1 species
UCAGUGGGCACAUUUAAAUAAAAGACAUCAAUAAUAAAUGAUUACUGUGUGGAUUAUAGUGUUACCUACAGAAUGUGCUGAUAUAUUCCCAGGUAGGGCUUUGUUUAGGAAUCCCAGGUUCAGAGAGGCUAAAUUCCACAAAAUCGCAUGCCUUGAACAUACUGAAUUCCAAAGACUGCCAGCUGCCUUCCACUGUAAUGGAGCCCCUGGUAUAUCCUUCACCCGAGAAAUUUUGGAUUUCAACAAGAGAACCAUUUUCCUGAAUAACAACAAUGAUGGGAAAGUGAGCAUACACAGAUCUUAUUUUAUAACGGAAGCCCUCUGUAACACUCUUGAUCAUGUUCCAUAUUUUCAAUAAAAAUUAUGGAAAAUAAUA